rnacentral:rRNA from 1 species
ACAAACGCUGGCGGCGUGCUUUACCAAUGCGAGUCGAACGGGUUCAUUGCUCCAGGGUUUACUCUGGAGCAGCGGAUCAGUGGCGUCCGGGUGCGUAACACGUGGGUGACCUAGCUUCACGCGGGGGAUACCCUUCCGAAAGGAAGGCUAAUACCGCAUAGACUGCCUCCCUGUGGGGUGGCAGGAAAGCUCCAGGAGGUGCAAACCGCCUGGGGCACGUGAAGGGGGGCCCGCGGCCUAUCAGCUGGUUGGUGGGGUAAUGGCUUACCAAGGCUACGAUCCGUAACCGGCCUGAGAGGGCGGUCGGUCACACUGACACUGACAUACGGGUCAGACUCCUACGGGAGGCAGCAGUCGGGAAUUUUGGGCAAUGGGCGAAAGCCUGACCCAGCAACGCCGCGUGAAGGAUGAAAAU